rnacentral:rRNA from 1 species
UACGAAGGGGGCUAGCGUUGUUCGGAAUUACUGGGCGUAAAGCGCGCGCAGGCGGUCCUACAAGUCAGAGGUGAAAGCCCAGGGCUCAACCCUGGAACUGCCUUUGAAACUGUAGGACUUGGGUAUGGGAGAGGUGAGCGGAAUUCCGAGUGUAGAGGUGAAAUCCGUAGAUAUUCGGAAGAACACCAGUGGCGAAGGCGGCUCACUGGCCCAUUACCGACGCUCAGGCGCGACAGCGUGGGGAGCAAACAGG